UUUAACCAUAAUCCCAGUCACCUUCUCGUUGUUAAAUGCAGUGGUUUGCGCAUGAAGUUUUGCGCAAAUGCUGGCAUCUAUCAAUGAUUUUUGGUUUGGUUAGGUUUUAAUAGUCACAGUAGGACCAUCCCCUAUACACUUCCUUUUGAACUCGGUCACCGUGUUAUUCUCAGAGGCAACCUGGAACAUGUCCCAGUACCCCGUGAUCAAAACAAUCUUGAAGCAUGGAUUCCGAUUGGUCAGACCAGCGUUGACUAGACCUUAAACAAGAAGUACACGUGCUGAGUUUCUGCCUAUCGGAAGGCAGGAGCAAGAUGGUGUCCCGGAAGCAUUUUCCCCAAAUUUGCUAUAAUAAUAUUUCAGCAAGUGUAUAUAGCAGUUGAUUCUCUUUAAAGAAGCCUACAGUCAUUCAGUACAGUUACAUUUUGUUGUCCUUUCUCAGUCUCUUUCUCUCCGAUAGUCUCAAACAUCUCAGAGCGGUAAUCAAUCCUGGUUUCUGUGCCAAGACCUGCAACUCUCCUCUCUUUCAGAUCUCGAUCACCUAGUCUCUGUGCUGUUACUUUUCCUUCCAACUGGUUGAGCUCUACCGAGUCUUAUGGUUCUACCACCGGGACCUGCCCAAAGAUGCUAGGACUGUGCAUAGGGCCAAAACUCAAUACACCAUCCUUGAAAAGGCUGGAGAUGUUUUUGUUAGUACAAUUCAUUUUAAGCAAGGACGCACGCCAAUAUUGUGCCAGAGGAAUGAUUUCAAGACGGUGUGACCUUCUAGCCUAGUUGUAAGAAAGAUGACCGAAUUGUCCCUGCACAUUUGAGUCUAUGGUAAAGCUGGUAUGUUGACAAUGCAUUUUUUGUUGUGUGCUCUGUUUUUGAAGAUCUGUUUUGGAAGUGCAGCUGCCCUUAGAAGCAUCACCUAGUAAGGGAAGUUGAG
rnacentral:lncRNA from 1 species